AACGCACAUUGCACUCUGUUUCGGCAGAGUAUGCCUGUUUGAGAAUCUAUAGUAUUCAUUUUCCAAGAUCAGUCCUAACGGGCAGGUUUUGUGAGAGAUUUGGGUCGUCGCACUUACACUGCGUGACUUUAAAACUAUAGCUGCUGAAUGUUAAGAAUCUGCGGAAAAGUAUGUGUAUGAGACUUGUCUCUUCUAUGCUAAGUACGCGUACUUGACUAUAGUUUGGCACUCAACUAUUAGAGUCUCGGUCUAACAACCAAGACUUGAACCAUGGUCUCAAAUCAGGCAGGAAGACCCGCUGAACUUAA
rnacentral:misc_RNA from 1 species